GUAUUAUUGAAGCAAACAGAGUAAACAAUGUAAAUACAAUUUUCUAGAACACAAAAACGAUGUGAAAAUACACAAACAAACAUUACAUUGAGUAUAUUAUUUUUAAAUAUAAAAGUACAGGGUUUAGAAAUAAACUUUAAUACUGUCAUCGAAGAUGCAUCUGAUGAUUCUAAAAUUUCCUCACUAGUUUCGGGUUUAGUUUGGGUUUCUUGAUCUCGAUUACUGAUUAUUACAAAUUCGUUUGUUGACAACUCACUACAAGGCUGUUGAGCUCAACAGACUUGUUCCAACAACUUGUUAUCGUCCUGCAACCUUGUAGCAACUUGAUAAAAUAACAACAUUGUUACAAAUUGUUGACAAGCUUGCUACAAGCCUGUUGCGAACACAUCUUGUUGACUUGUUGUUUUACGUGUGUAUAUAGUGACGUGUACACGUGUUUUCUAGUUGGGGUUAAUAACUAAAAUAUCUUACCUAUAAUAACUUAUUUUAGCCAGUUAUUGACUGAGGAAAUUUAGGUUUAAGCCUUUGUGGAAUAUAACAGUAGUUUACACUUUAUAAUUUAAUAACGUGUAUACUCUGCAAGCAUGUUUAAUUAUUAUACAUUUAUACGUUCAACACUGUAGUUUCAAUCAGAAAACGUUUUAGACUUUUAGGGAUACACUUCCACUUCACAUAAUGUAAGAAUUUUGUGUGGUCCAGGAAUUAUAAUAUUUACAUAUCUUCCGAUCAUGGGCUGUGGACACGUGAUACUCUUGGUGAUUACAGUGCUCAUUGAAUGUUUUCCACCACAAGUGGGAUUAGAGUUGCCAUUGUUAUUCAGAGACAAGCCAAUCCUUAUCUCAAAAUUCGAAAGUCGGGAUGUACAGCAGUCGGAGCGAUUGGUGAUGAUCAGCUUACGAAUGGAGUACUAUAUAGAACAUUGAAAACAAAUGAAG